rnacentral:rRNA from 1 species
GAUGAACGCUGGCGGCGUGCCUAAUACAUGCAAGUCGAGCGAACAGACGAGGAGCUUGCUCCUCUGACGUUAGCGGCGGACGGGUGAGUAACACGUGGAUAACCUACCUAUAAGACUGGGAUAACUUCGGGAAACCGGAGCUAAUACCGGAUAAUAUAUUGAACCGCAUGGUUCAAUAGUGAAAGACGGUUUUGCUGUCACUUAUAGAUGGAUCCGCGCCGCAUUAGCUAGUUGGUAAGGUAACGGCUUACCAAGGCAACGAUGCGUAGCCGACCUGAGAGGGUGAUCGGCCAAACGGGAACUGAGACACGGUCCAGCCUCCUACGGGAGGCAGCAGUAGGGAAUCUUCCGAAAUGGGCGAAAGCCUGACGGAGCAACGCCGCGGAAGUGAUGAAGGUCUUCGGAUCGUAAAACUCUGUUAUUAGGGAAGAACAAAUGUGUAAGUAACUAUGCAAGUCUUGACGGUACCUAAUCAGAAAGCCACGGCUAACUACGU